rnacentral:tRNA from 1 species
CAAAGCGUAGCUUAACUAAAGCACCUGGCUUACACCCAGGAGAUUUCCACUAACCCGGAACGCUCUGA